UACGUAGGGGGCUAGCGUUGUCCGGAUUUAUUGGGCGUAAAGCGCGUGUAGGCGGCCAGGUAGGUCCGCUGUGAAAACUCGAGGCUCAACCUCGAGAUGUCGGCGGAAACCAUCUGGCUAGAGUCCGGAAGAGGAGAAUGGAAUUCCCGGUGUAGCGGUGAACUGCGCAGAUAUCGGGAAGAACACCCGUGGCGAAGGCGGUUCUCUGGGACGGUACUGACGCUGAGACGCGAAAGCGUGGGGAGCGAACAGG
rnacentral:rRNA from 1 species